rnacentral:misc_RNA from 1 species
UCCGAGUUAUCCCCGGCAGUCUCCUAUGAGUCCCCACCUUUACGUGCUGGCAACAUAGGACAAGGGUUGCGCUCGUUGCGGGACUUAACCCAACAUCUCACGACACGAGCUGACGACAGCCAUGCACCACCUGUCACGGGCCCUAAAGGACACUGUAUUUCUACAGCUUUUCCCGUGAUGUCAAACCCAGGUAAGGUUCUUCGGGUUGCAUCGAAUUAAGCCGCAUGCUCCGCCGCUUGUGCGGGGACCCGUCAAUUCCUUUGAGUUUUAGCCUUGCGGCCGUACUCCCCAGGCGGGACACUUAAUGCGUUAGCUACGGCACGGACAACAAUGAAGCUCCCCACACCUAGCGCCCAACGUUUACGGCGUGGACUAC